rnacentral:rRNA from 1 species
UACAGAGGGUGCAAGCGUUGUUCGGAAUUAUUGGGCGUAAAGGGCGCGUAGGCGGUGUGGUAAGUCUGAUGUGAAAACUCUAGGCUCAACCUGGAGAUUGCAUCAGAAACUGCCGUGCUAGAGUGCGGGAGAGGAGAGUGGAAUUCCUGGUGUAGCGGUGAAAUGCGUAGAUAUCAGGAGGAACACCGGUGGCGAAGGCGGCUCUCUGGACCGCAACUGACGCUGAGGCGCGAAAGCUAGGGGAGCAAACAGG